rnacentral:rRNA from 1 species
GAUGAACGCUAGCGAUAGGCCUAACACAUGCAAGUCGAGGGGCAUCACAUGAAGUAGCAAUACGGAUGGUGGCGACCGGCGCACGGGUGAGUAACACGUAUGCAACCUGCCUUCAACAAGGGGAUAACCCGUUGAAAGACGGACUAAUACCCUAUAACACAGGGGUCCCGCAUGGGAAUAUUUGUUAAAGGACAACCGGUUGAAGAUGGGCAUGCGUUCCAUUAGCUAGUUGGCGGGGUAACGGCCCACCAAGGCAACGAUGGAUAGGGGAACUGAGAGGUUUAUCCCCCAACUGGUACUGAGACACGGGACCAGACUCCUACGGGAGGCAGCAGUGAGGAAUAUUGGUCAAUGGACGCAAGUCUGAACCAGCCACGUCGCGUGAAGGAAGACGGCCCUACGGGUUGUAAACUUCUUUUAUACGGGAAUAAAGUGCCCCACGCGUGGGGUUUUGCAUGUACCGUAUGAAUAGGAUCGGC